AUGCACCUUACACUAUAGAAGUAACACUUUUCCCUCUGCUUUAUUUUCUCUAUAUGCUAAACUCCUUACUUGCCUCUGCUAAAGAACAUCGCUGGAGUGUCUUGGUGUGUGAAGUAUGAAAUAGUUUCUAAAGACAUAAGUUGUGAUAUAGCAAGACAGAGGCAAAACCCCUCAUUCUUCUGAGAGUGUAAACAUCAUGUCGCAAGAAGCUCACCUAAAAUUUGAAAAGGAAAACUCAACGAAAAUUUGAAAAGAAAUUCAAGGAAAAAAAAAUGUGACCUUUAAAAUUUCCAUGUUGACAGCACCACCAGGACCCCUUCUGGGAUCCGUUGCUAGGGAACAGGAGGAUCGGCAUGGCGGAGCACGUUGGUCUGAGCACAUGUGAGGUGUUUAGAAAACUGCAAGUCAUCCAGCACGGGAGCAACGCCAGGCACAGGCAGGGGAGUCGUAGGGGAUGAUGCUGCAGAAGGGACAGACCGGGUUCUAGAAGUUGGCGAGCAAGGAAAUGUGAGCAUCUGGACUGCCGAACGCACCCUGUUAAGUGCGACUCAUGUCGUUCUGAUUGGGCUGAAUUGAAGAGCUGCCCAGCCUCUCCCCUGGCCCUGAGACCCCUGACCUAGAGGGACUAACUAGAGGGACGGCAUGGCAAUGGCAAGUGUACCCAAGACAGCAUGCCCGGAGGUUUAUCCAGGAAUAUUCAUCCAGAGGGAAAGAGCAAUGGACGAUGAGCAUGUUGGACCAGAUGGGCACGUGUCCAAGUGCACCCUAUGGAAUGUAUC
rnacentral:lncRNA from 10 species